GCUGUUGUAGCUCAGGGGUAGAGCACUUCCUUGGUAAGGAAGAGGUCAUGGGUUCAAAUCCCAUCAACAGCU
rnacentral:tRNA from 2 species